rnacentral:rRNA from 1 species
AGAGUUUGAUCAUGGCUCANAGUGAACGCUGGCGGUAGGCCUAACACAUGCAAGUCGAACGGCAGCACAGUAAGAGCUUGCUCUUACGGGUGGCGAGUGGCGGACGGGUGAGGAAUACAUCGGAAUCUACUUUUUCGUGGGGGAUAACGUAGGGAAACUUACGCUAAUACCGCAUACGACCUACGGGUGAAAGCAGGGGAUCUUCGGACCUUGCGCGAUUGAAUGAGCCGAUGUCGGAUUAGCUAGUUGGCGGGGUAAAGGCCCACCAAGGCGACGAUCCGUAGCUGGUCUGAGAGGAUGAUCAGCCACACUGGAACUGAGACACGGUCCAGACUCCUACGGGACGCAGCAG